rnacentral:rRNA from 1 species
AUUGAACGCUGGCGGCAUGCCUUACACAUGCAAGUCGAACGGCAGCACGGGAGCAAUCCUGGUGGCGAGUGGCGAACGGGUGAGUAAUAUAUCGGAACGUGCCCAGUCGUGGGGGAUAACGUAGCGAAAGCUACGCUAAUACCGCAUACGAUCUAUGGAUGAAAGCGGGGGAUCGCAAGACCUCGCGCGAUUGGAGCGGCCGAUAUCAGAUUAGGUAGUUGGUGAGGUAAAGGCUCACCAAGCCGACGAUCUGUAGCUGGUCUGAGAGGACGACCAGCCACACUGGGACUGAGACACGGCCCAGACUCCUACGGGAGGCAGCAGUGGGGAAUUUUGGACAAUGGGCGCGAAGCCUGAUCCAGCAAUGCCGCGUGCAGGAUGAAGGCCUU